CCUACGGGAGGCUGCAGUGGGGAAUAUUGCACAAUGGGGGAAACCCUGAUGCAGCCAUGCCGCGUGUGUGAAGAAGGCCUUCGGGUUGUAAAGCACUUUAAGCAGGGAGGAAGGCCAGAUGGUUAAUAACCAUUUGGAUUGACGUUACCUGCAGAAUAAGCACCGGCUAACUCCGUGCCAGCAGCCGCGGUAAUACGGAGGGUGCAAGCGUUAAUCGGAAUUACUGGGCGUAAAGCGCGCGUAGGCGGCCAUUUAAGCUGGUUGUGAAAGCCCUG
rnacentral:rRNA from 1 species